UUAACUAACAUGACUGUAUUUUUAGAUGUUGAAAAAGAUUAACUACUCUGUUUCUUGCCGGUUCUUCUCGGUAGAAUCUACUUUCCGAACCGGUGGUAGCUUCACUUAAUUGUUAAAUGACGAUUCAAAAGUGCUUGUAGAAGCCUACUUGAAUAAAGUAUAUUUUGAUUUUGA